rnacentral:rRNA from 1 species
CCUACGGGUGGCACCAGUGGGGAAUUUUGGACAAUGGGCGAAAGCCUGAUCCAGCAAUGCCGCGUGUGUGAAGAAGGCCUUCGGGUUGUAAAGCACUUUUGUCCGGAAAGAAAUCCUUGGCUCUAAUACAGUCGGGGGAUGACGGUACCGGAAGAAUAAGCACCGGCUAACUACGUGCCAGCAGCCGCGGUAAUACGUAGGGUGCAAGCGUUAAUCGGAAUUACUGGGCGUAAAGCGUGCGCAGGCGGUUUGCUAAGACCGAUGUGAAAUCCCCGGGCUCAACCUGGGAACUGCAUUGGUGACUGGCAGGCUAGAGUAUGGCAGAGGGGGGUAGAAUUCCACGUGUAGCAGUGAAAUGCGUAGAGAUGUGGAGGAAUACCGAUGGCGAAGGCAGCCCCCUGGGCCAAUACUGACGCUCAUGCACGAAAGCGUGGGGAGCAAACAGGAUUAGAUACCCUGGUAGUC